rnacentral:tRNA from 1 species
UCCCUGGUGGCUCAGUGGUAAAGAAUCCUCCUGCAAUGCAGGAGACCCGGGUUCGAUCCCUGGCUUGGGAA